rnacentral:lncRNA from 1 species
CUAUGUGGCAACAAGAGAAAAAUUAAAAAUAAAAUAUUUACUGACUGAUCAAUGAUUUGACAGCCAUUUGGCAGCCACGUAAGAAUUUAAAUAAAGAAGAAUAAGUUUUAAUUUUCUUUCUUUUCUCUUCCUAUUAUUUCUCUCUUCCCAAUUUCUUCAUUUGUUGUUUUCCUUCUUCCUCGUCUCCAUCUCUAUCUUUUAGAUCUGACCACAGCAAAAUACACUUGUCUCUAAAGAGGACCAAAACCUAGUUGUGUCUCGACCGCAAUCACUAGAGGCUCAGUCCAAGACAGAUAUUACAAAGGGUCCAGAUCUAUUGUGGUGGUGGAAGAAAAUGAAAGACCAGAUCUGUUGUUUUUAUCACAAGGUUUCACGCAUCUUCAAGCACAUAGAAUGCCCUUAAAUCCAAACUCCUUUACCUCCUUCUAUUCACCACCACUUUCUCCCUCUUUCUCGUUCUCCUUCGUCCGCCGUCCAUCAAUUGUAAGGGAAUUGAAGGAACUGAUUUUGAAUCUAUCUGGAACGCGAUCGAGAUGUCAGAUCGAUGUGCAGGAUGUAUUUGAUUUGGAUUUAGAAUUGGAAUUUUGAUUUGGAAUUUGAUGCUUCUUGUUGCUAUGAUUUGGAUUUGGAUUGUUGUUGUGAUUUGGCUGUGAUUUGGAUUUGCUUAUGCUUCUUGUUGAUGCCAUUUGGAAUGUUUGAUGUGUUAUUGCUGUGAUUUGGAUUUGAUGAUGCUUCCAGUAAUUAAGUCGUCUGCUUCUCAGAUAUGUUUUAAUUUUUAUAUUAAUUUUUUAAAGCUUUUUUUUUUGUUAUUUUUAUCCACGUAGGUAAUAAUUUAAUUUUUUAUUUUAUUUUCUUAAACACCUGGAUAAUAAUUAAACUGCCGUUCAAUUAAUUGGACGGAAUAUCUAAUUUUAAAAUUUUAAUUAGUUUAAUGGAUUGAUUGAAUAUUUUUAAAGUUCUAAAUCCUUACAAGUGGACA